CAGGAUGAUGAUAUUCCCCAAGGCCUUGGUUUAUCUGAUCUCAAAACAUCUACAUAAAGGAACACACAAUGGGAGUGAUGUCCUCGCCAACCUAGUGCAACCACAUCUCAGUAGCCCACACUUCCAAGAUAUCAUUUGGAAAAUUACACAAGGAUGCAUCUCGUGCACUUGAAACAAUCCCAAGAUGGAAUGUAGCCGUCCUAAAAAGGGGAUAUAGUACAAAGGGCUGAGUCCCUUCAAAGACUGAAAGUCUCAAGAUGUAACCUUGAAGCAAACUGCAGAAGCCAUUGCUUUAGUCUUCAAGUAGAACGCUGAAAUAUACUUUGGAACCACACCCCAUUCAGUUUCCCACUGUACACAUCCAUUCCUUAUACACAUUUAUCUAACUGUAUGCUGGCGAAACUCACACCAUGCAUACUUAUCUAACUAUAUACCUGUCAAAAAAAUACCAGAGGCUAAUUUAAAAUGAACC
rnacentral:lncRNA from 10 species